AUUGAACGCUGGCGGCAUGCCUUACACAUGCAAGUCGAACGGCAGCACGGGAGCAAUCCUGGUGGCGAGUGGCGAACGGGUGAGUAAUAUAUCGGAACGUGCCCAGUCGUGGGGAUAACGUAGCGAAAGCUACGCUAAUACCGCAUACGAUCUAUGGAUGAAAGCGGGGGGAUCGCAAGACCUCGCGCGAUUGGAGCGGCCGAUAUCAGAUUAGGUAGUUGGUGAGGUAAAGGCUCACCAAGCCGACGAUCUGUAGCUGGUCUGAGAGGACGACCAGCCACACUGGGACUGAGACACGGCCCAGACUCCUACGGGAGGCAGCAGUGGGGAAUUCUGGACAAUGGGCGCAAGCCUGAUCCAGCAAUGCCGCGUGCAGGAUGAAGG
rnacentral:rRNA from 1 species